CCUACGGGAGGCAGCAGUGGGGAAUAUUGCACAAUGGGGGAAACCCUGAUGCAGCGACGCCGCGUGAGUGAAGAAGUAUUUCGGUAUGUAAAGCUCUAUCAGCAGGGAAGAAAAUGACGGUACCUGACUAAGAAGCCCCGGCUAACUACGUGCCAGCAGCCGCGGUAAUACGUAGGGGGCAAGCGUUAUCCGGAUUUACUGGGUGUAAAGGGAGCGCAGGCGGGCUGUUAAGCCGGCGGUAAAAAUUCAGGGCUCAACCCUGUCGAGCCGUCGGAACUGGCAGUCUUGAGUGGGCGAGAAGUAUGCGGAAUGCGUGGUGUAGCGGUGAAAUGCAUAGAUAUCACGCAGAACGCCGAUUGCGAAGGCAGCAUACCGGCGCCCAACUGACGCUGAGGCACGAAAGCGUGGGGAUCGAACAGGAUUAGAUACCCCUGUAGUC
rnacentral:rRNA from 1 species